rnacentral:rRNA from 1 species
AAUGGGCGAAAGCCUGAUCCAGCAAUGCCGCGUGCAGGAUGAAGGCCUUCGGGUUGUAAACUGCUUUUGUACGGAACGAAAAGCUUCGGGUUAAUACCCUGGAGCCAUGACGGUACCGUAAGAAUAAGCACCGGCUAACUACGUACCAGCAGCCGCGGUAAUACGUAGGGUGCAAGCGUUAAUCGGAAUUACUGGGCGUAAAGCGUGCGCAGGCGGUUUUGUAAGACAGAGGUGAAAUCCCCGGGCUCAACCUGGGAACUGCCUUUGUGACUGCAAGGCUAGAGUACGGCAGAGGGGGAUGGAAUUCCGCGUGUAGCAGUGAAAUGCGUAGAUAUGCGGAGGAACACCGAUGGCGAAGGCAAUCCCCUGGGCCUGUACUGACGCUCAUGCACGAAAGCGUGGGGAGCAAACAGGAUUAGAUACCCUGGUAGUCCACGCCCUAAACGAUGUCAACUGGUUGUUGGGUCUUAACUGACUCAGUAACGAAGCUAACGCGUGAAGUUGACCGCCUGGGGAG